AAUUAGCGGCGGACGGGUGAGUAACGCGUGAGCGACCAACCUUGCACGAGGGGGAUAAACGGACCGAAAGGUUCACUAAUACCGCAUGAGACCACGGUGUUGCAUGACACAGAGGUCAAAGGAGCAAUCCGGUGCAAGACGGGCUCGCGUCCGAUUAGGUAGUUGGUGGGGUAAUGGCCCCACCAAGCCUAUGAUCGGUAGCCGACCUGAGAGGGUGAUCGGCCACAUUGGAACUGAGAUACGGUCCAAACUCCUACGGGAGGCAGCAGUGGGGAAUAUUGGGCAAUGGGGGAAACCCUGACCCAGCAACGCCGCGUGAAGGAAGAAGGUUUUCGGAUUGUAAACUUCUGUCCUUGGUGAAGAGAAGAAGACGGUAGCCAAGGAGGAAGCCCCGGCUAACUACGUGCCAGCAGCUGC
rnacentral:rRNA from 1 species